AAAGUCGUAACAAGGUUUCCGUAGGUGAACCUGCGGAAGGAUCAUUACAGUGCCGUGGGGACGCCGCGCCCAACAGCGUGGGCGCCCUACACCUGGCCACCCGUGUCUACCUUUACCUUUGUUGCUUCGGCGGGCCUGACCCCUCGGGGUCUGCCAGGAGGGGGUUAGCGUACCCACGCGCCCCCGAACGGCGAGCGCCCGCCGAGGGACCUCUUGAACUCUUGUGAAUCAGUGUCGUCUGAGCGAUUGACAAAUCGUUAAAACUUUCAACAAUGGAUCUCUUGGUUCUG
rnacentral:misc_RNA from 1 species